rnacentral:rRNA from 1 species
GAUGAACGCUGGCGGCGUGCCUAAUACAUGCAAGUCGAGCGAACAGACGAGGAGCUUGCUCCUCUGACGUUAGCGGCGGACGGGUGAGUAACACGUGGAUAACCUACCUAUAAGACUGGGAUAACUUCGGGAAACCGGAGCGAAUACCGGGUAAUAUAUUGAACCGCAUGGUUCAAUAGUGAAAGACGGUUUUACUGUCACUUAUAGAUGGAUCCGCGCCGCAUUAGCUAGUUGGUAAGGUAACGGCUUACCAAGGCAACGAUGCGUAGCCGACCUGAGAGGGUGAUCGGCCACACUGGAACUGAGACACGGUCCAGACUCCUACGGGAGGCAGCAGUAGGGAAUCUUCCGCAAUGGGCGAAAGCUUGACGGAGCAACGCCGCGUGAGUGAUGAAGGUCUUCGGAUCGUAAAACUCUGUUAUUAGGGAAGAACAAAUGUGUAAGUAACUAUGCACGUCUUGACGGUACCUAAUCAGAAAGCCACGGCUAACUACGUG